rnacentral:rRNA from 1 species
CCCCACUGCUAUCGGGAUGGGACUAAGACAUGCUAGUCGAGCGUCUCCAAGCUAUGGAAGAGACGCGGCACACAGCUCAGUAACACGUGGCUAACCUGCCCUUGGGACAAGGACAACUCCGGGAAACUGGAGCUAAUCCCUGAUAGGUGAGAACUCCUGGAAUGGAUUCUCGCUCAAAAGGCGCUUAGACCAUGCUUCUAGGCGUCGCCCAAGGAGGGGGCCGCGGCCGAUCAGGUUGUUGGUGAGGUAACGGCUCACCAAGCCUUUAACCGGUACGGGCCGUGAGAGCGGAAGCCCGGAGAUGGGCACUGGGACAAGGGCCCAGGCCCUACGGGGCGCAGCAGUCGCGAAAACUCCGCAAUACACGAAAGUGUGACGGGGCUAUCCCGAGUGCCAUCCGCUGAGGAUGGCUUUUCCCUAGUGUAUAAAGCUGGGGGAAUAAGGAGAGGGCAAGCCUGGUGUCAGCCGCCGCGGUAAUACCAGCUCUCCGAGUGGUGGGGAUGUUUAUUGGGCCUAAAGCAUUCGUAGCCUGCUUGGCAAGUCCCCCGUUAAAUCCAACGAUUCAAUCGUUGGGCUGCGGGGGAUACUGUCCAGCUAGGGGGCGGGAGAGGCCGACGGUAUCCUCGGGGUAGGGGUGAAAUCCUAUAAUCCCGGGAGGACCACCAGUGGCGAAGGCUGUCGGCUAGAACGCGCUCGACGGUGGGGGAUGAAAGCUGGGGGAGCGAACCGGAUUAGAUACCCGGGUAGUCCCAGCUGUAAACGAUGCGGGCUAGGUGUUGGAGUGGCUACGAGCCACUUCAGUGCCGCAGGGAAGCCAUUAAGCCCGCCGCCUGGGGAGUACGGCCGCAAGGCUGAAACUUAAAGGAAUUGGCGGGGGAGCACCACAAGGCGUGAAGCUUGCGGUUC